CCUACGGGUCGCAGCAGUGGGGAAUAUUGCACAAUGGGCGCAAGCCUGAUGCAGCCAUGCCGCGUGUAUGAAGAAGGCCUUCGGGUUGUAAAGUACUUUCAGCGGGGAGGAAGGCAAUAAGGUUUAUAACCUUGUCGAUUGACGUCACCCGCAGAAGAAGCACCGGCUAACUCCGUGCCAGCAGCCGCGGUAAUACGGAGGGUGCAAGCGUUAAUCGGAAUUACUGGGCGUAAAGCGCACGCAGGCGGUCUGUCAAGUCGGAUGUGAAAUCCCCGGGCUCAACCUGGGAACUGCAUUCGAAACUGGCAGGCUAGAGUCUUGUAGAGGGGGGUAGAAUUCCAGGUGUAGCGGUGAAAUGCGUAGAGAUCUGGAGGAAUACCGGUGGCGAAGGCGGCCCCCUGGACAAAGACUGACGCUCAGGUGCGAAAGCGUGGGGAGCAAACAGGAUUAGAUACCCCCGUAGUC
rnacentral:rRNA from 1 species